rnacentral:lncRNA from 1 species
AAAAUUAAGGGACAAAACAAGGAAUAUGCGCACAAUGGCCAAAUUAUAAUGCGCAUAAAACACAGGGAUCAAUUAAGAAAUUAAUCCAUGCCCUCAAAAUGCAGCGUUUUUGAGAGGACUCAAAUGCAACAUAAAGGAAAUUUGAAGGGAAAAUUAAAAAUAUAUAAAAAAAACUAAAUUAAAACAAAUAGAAAUGCGACAGGGGCUAACGCGCAAAUGGACUAUUCGGUCCAAAGCUAUAAACGACGCUGUUUUAUUUAUUACUAAAACUAAAAGAAUGAAUGGCAAUCUGCCAUUUUUCCUUUUACCGCAACAAAACCCCAAUCCCUUCCCCAAAGUUCUCUGUUCCAAAAUCAAAAGGAACAAAGGGUCUUCUCCUUUCUUCCUCUGCCAGGGCACAAAUGGAUCAGCCCCCUGCUGCUAAUCCGCCUUGAUCAUGAAGAACGGCUACAGGAGAAGCCACAAUCAGGUACCUUCGUCCCUUUUGUUUUCUUUUUCCAUUUCUUUUGUUGUAAAAAAACUUAAAUAGUAAAAUCAAAAUAGCAAAUCACCUUUUGAAAAGAAGAAAAAAUCGUUCUCAUUUAAUUGAAAAAUUGCUCUGCAUAUGGAAAAUUCAGAUUCUGUUCUCUAUUUUCUUUAUAUCUGUCUUGUAUUUGUAUUCCCCCCCCCCUUACAAUUAAAAACCGAAGGCUUUAUAGCCAAUAUACAAGCGAUUUCUGCUAUUUUGCCCAUGUUGCAGGUCGUGAAGCCAUGAAAACGGAGCGCACAGACGUGGGGUAGGCAACGCGUAGUUGGGGAUCGUGCGAAGGGCGUGUGUGGAGGCUGCUGGUGAAGGCCGCGGCGUGAAGCAAAAGGAGACCUAGGGUCUCUAAAAACCCCAAUGCUUUGGGCCUAUCUGGCCUUUGUAUUUUUAUUUUAUUGGGCCUUGAUUUGGACUGUUGUAUUUUUUUAUUUUAUUGUUUUGUAUGUGUACGGGCCAGGCAAAAUUUGGGCCUUACAAUCUCUACUCUCAUCAAUGGGGUUUAUAAAAACCUUGGUGUGCCUCCCAUUAGUCAUAGUUUAACCCAUGGAUAAUAGGAUGCUUACCUUCAACUUGUGGGCCCCAUUUAAAAUGUGGUUGUAAUAGUUGCACAACCUUCAGCUCUGCAUUUGAGGUGACAUUUGCUCACUAUUUUUCUUUCAUCAAUUCGUAACAACAAGGCUUUCCUUCCCUAAAUUGAAAGGAGGAAAGCCAAAAUCAGAAAACAAAAAGCUAUCAAUCGAAGGAGAUCACAAACCUAUUAUCAAAAAAGAAAACCCAUCAUGCUUAAAUUUACCAUUUCAAUUAAGUUACGUACUAACAAAAAUUCCAUUCAAGAUUAUUCUACAAAAAUGUUUAAAUGAAAAACUGGAAUUUGAUUGAAAAACAAGUGAAUUUUUGGAAUUUUCUCAAAGUUGACUUUAGCCAUGCGCCCAGAAAAAGUAAAAUUUAUAAAUAUGCAUAAAAAAAUUAUUUAGUGAUUUUUUAAUACAAAAAUAUAAAUUAUUUUUGGGAAGGUGAGGAGCAUGAGAUUCGUAAUAAGUGGUUUUUUGUUCAUUUGUUUGAUUUUUAUAAAAAUAAAUAAAUAAAAUCAUGGUGCUUAUGCUAUCAAUCUUGGAUUAUUGUUUCUUCAGUAUCUCUAAUACACCGUUAAUUAAUGAUUAGGUAGAUGUUUAUCUCAACUGGUACAUUGAAUGAAAUAUUGAUAUGUUUUACAUAAAAUAAUAUAUAUUGGGAAAAAUUCAGUAAAAAUUAGAGUAAUUUUACACAUUUCUGUAAUUAUUUAUAUGAUUAAUGUUUUAACGAUUCAAUCAUUAAAUUUAUUAAUAUAAUUGUACUUGUCAUGCAUUCAAAUUUUUGAACUCAUCUGAUAUCCGUAUUAUAUUAAUCUAAAAAAUAGUUGAUAUAUAUAUAUAUUAAGGGGUGAAUUUUUAUAUAUAAAAUAAAUAGUUAGAAUUUUUAAAUAUACAUCUAAUUUGAUAUGCAAGAUAUAUAUAUAAAUAGACUAAAUGAUUGAACAUUUGAAUAGUAAUUUAAUUUUGUAUGGUGUAAGCAUGAAUUAUUUUGUAAUGAUAGAAAAUAUCUGGACAGGUUACAACUUGGGAGAUAUUUCUUUCAAAAUUCAACCAAAUGAAAUCAAAAUGAUUUUUUGUGAAUAAUAACAUCCUUUUUUAAAUUUCUGGAAAAUAAGGAGCCAUCUUUUACACAAUCAUCAAUGCACGUCUAAGAAGACAAAUAAAGCUUAGCUGUAUUGGUAUUAUAUUAAUAAAGGAAAGCAGCAGUUAAAUUUCUGAGUUUGCGUUUGUCAUUAAUAAUAUUUAUUUCUUCAAGAUUCCCACACUAGUUUUCUCUUUUCUUAUAGAGCUCCACCACUCCCUGGUUAUCAUUGAGAAGAAGAAAAUCAGAGAUGGGUUUCACAGAGAAGCAAGAAGGGUUGGUGAAAGAAUCAUGGGAGGUUUUGAAGCAAGAUAUUCCUCACUUCAGCUUGCGUUUCUUUUCACUGUAAGACCUUUAAUUCUUUCCUUUUUAUGAAUUCUUCGUUCGGACCCAACAGUGGUCAGUGUCGGCCAAACGAGUGAGGCUGUGUCUUUUAAGAGAAUUUCUCUUCCACUGAGUAUUGAUUAAAUUGAGAGUGUUAUUUAGGAUAUUGGAGAUAGCACCAGGUGCGAAGAACAUGUUCAGUUUCUUGAGGGAGUCAGAGGAGAUUCCUCAAAAUAAUCCAAAGCUCAUGCUGUCAAGGUUUUCAAGAUGGUCAGUCCUUUUAUUUUAUUCAUUGCAUAUAUAUCCCUACUUAAGUUAAAAUACUUAAACAAUUGUUGUUGAAGACAUGUGAGUCAGCCAUACAACUGAGAGAGAAAGGGGAAGUGGUAGUGGCUGAUACUACUUUGAAGUAUUUGGGCACUGUCCAUGUCAAGAGUGGUGUCAAAGACCCCCAUUUCGAGGUACAUUUUUAUUUUAUUUUUUAAUAAUAAAUUUGAUUUGGAUGCAGUGGUUAAUUAAAAAAAUUUUGAGGAAUAAUGUUAAUGCAGGUGGUGAAAGAGGCACUCAUAAGGACAAUUGAAGAAGCAAUUGGAGAAGAGAAAUGGAAUGAAGAGAUGAAGAAUGCUUGGGGUGAAGCUUAUGAUCAAUUGGCUGAAGCUAUAAAGGCUGAGAUGAAGAACCAUCAUGAUGAAACUGCUUAAUUACUCUUUUACUUCAAUUUUAUUGUUGUUUGCCAAUAUUUUCACAAUUUUAAUGAAUAAAUUUUAGUAAUAAAGACUAUUUUGUUUUUCUAUCAUUAUUUUGCCUUAUUUUCUGUUUUUUUUUCCUUAAAAAAAGUUAAAAACUUAAUAAAAAAAUACAUUAUAGAAGGAGAGAGAGAUUUAAAACAACUUGUAAUAUUGAGUGAAAUUAAGUGGAAUAAAUAUUAAAACCAUAUGACAUCAUCACAUAAAAUUUUAAUUUGAUUUGAUUUAUAUAAAUCACUAAUAAUAUUAUCAAAUUAGUGUCAUUUUAUAUUAAUAUAUUACAUAUGUAUAAUUAAAUUUAAAAUAAAAAUUUGUUAAAAUAAGAUGUAAAUUUUACAAUAAUUUUCAUUUUUUAUUUUAAAUUAAAUAUAUUCAAUUAAUUUUCGGUUAAAAGAUGCUAUGCUCUUGAAUUUUAAUCCUUUCAUUUUAGGGUUAAAAUUUGUCAGCUAAAUUUGAAUAAAAAAAAUACACACUAAAAAUUGCCAUGUCAUAAAUAAAGUGACAUCAAAGCUUCAAAAAGUAAACUCAGAAUUCCGAAAAGUAAAACCAACUUUAAUUAAUUUUCUCUUUUAUCCCCAAAACUGAACCAUCACGGAAAGAAGAAAAAAAAAAAAAAAGAGUGACAUUUUUAUUUACGUAAGAAUGAUAAAGAAGACUGAAUAAUAAUUGAUAUGCCAAUUGUUAUUCCAAUUAUACAAAAAAGCAUAGUGUUCCACAUAUUUAAACAUACACCCUUUCUAAUUGGAAUGGAGCCCCCUCCUCUACAUAAUCUCACAUUGGCUUCUCUCUUUCUCUUUACUCUUACUUAUUCCUCUCCUCUUUACAAUAUCGAGUAUGCUCGGAUUACCUCCACAAUCGGUGCUCGACACAAUGGGCAUUUUCCUCCCCCUCGUACCAACUCGUUCGCGCAUUUUGAACACGUGCACAUGUGUCCGCAUCUGCAAUCCCAUCAAUAUGCAUCAUCAGCAUAUGCGCAUACUCCGGUGUUAGUCCGAAAAUAUAAUGAUUUUAUGAAAAGAAAAAGUCGACAAGGUAUAAACCUGUACAAAAGUGAAUCGAUAUGGCUAUCGCAACAAACACAGCAGGUUCCUUUCCUCACAUGACCCCAUUUAGAUCCGUCCUCCGAUGUUUCUACACUCAGAACUGUAAUAAAAAGUUAGUCCGAAAUAAUUAUUUUUAAAGAGAAAAACGUUGGGAGGAUUUACAAACCUUUUUCACCAACUGAUCUGUUCAAUGCUGCUGAGACUUCCUGCCUGACGGAUCGCUGUAACUCAAGCUGCAUAUCCAUGCAGGCUUCCAACAUCCUCUGCAUGUGGCUCAUGCCCUGCUGAAGCCUUGCCAUAUCGGCUCUAAGAUCAUUAACCAUCUCCCAUUCCUGCUCGAAAUAAGUAGAGCCUUAUAAUUAACUUAAAAGAUGCAUGCAUAGUAACAAGUAAGAUUCUGGGCCUAUUUCUUUAUGAUAUUCAGCAACAGAGAUAACAGAAUGGAAAUGAUUCGAUAGUAUGGCAUUGAACAAAUAAAAGGAUGGCUCACAAUUUCUGAUCUAUGCAUGCUGUGCCGAGACCAGCUAGUGUGAUGUAAAUCUUGAUGCCAUAACGGUUGUGGUGGUGGUACAGGAGGAGAAGGUAACACCAGUGACGGUCUGCUGAUAGCAUUGUUCUGGUCAUCAUUUAUUUCAUCCCUCUGCUGCUCUUGAUCACGUUCUGGUGAGGCUGGAGUUGGCAAGUUUCUAUGCAGAUCCCAAUCAAUGGGAGAACGGCCUUGUCUUUCCACAUAAGAAUGUAUUAAUUGGUCUAGACUUUCCCGGAAACCACUUCGAAGAAGAUUAGAGACACUUCUCCUGCAAAUUAAAUUUAUAUAAAAAAUCAAAGAAGUCGCAAUAUUUUUCUUUUAAGAGUAAAGAAAACCAUGCGAGGGUUACCUGCUCAGAAGCUCUCUAAGUUCCAUACUAUACACAUUAUCAUCUUCAGGUGGAUGAAAUCUAUUGAACCUUCUAACUGGGAUUGAACGACGUGGUCUUGGAGGACCAGAAGGCCCUUCUGACCAAUUAUCAACAGCUUCCCGAGAGCCAUCCUCACGCCAAACCCUUUGGGCACCCUGUGAAUGACUUUCUUCCCCAUUUACAUUUCCAGGAUUUUCUUGACGAUACUCGCUAACUGAACCUUCUUGCCAAUUUGUAUCCAGUUCUUCUGCAUUGCCUUCUCUCCAUUCAUUGAACUGACCAUACGGUGGCUGUUGCCAAUUUCCUUGUUCAUCAUUGGUUGUAUGAUCCUGCCAAUUCCCACCUUGAUUAGCAUUUCCUUGCCAACUAAUGCUCUCAGCAGCCAUGGUGCUAACCAUAUCUCCUGUUUGUGACCGUGAGACGUCACUUUCUGAACUCCUAGGUUGUGUAUGUUCACUUCGUUCAUGUUGUGCAUCCUGUAAUGUGUUUGAUUGAGAAAGUUCGUUUCUAGAAUCAUCUAUGACAUUGCUAGACGUGGUUUCAGGAUUGCUGCUUGCUUGACCACGGAAAAUGGUUUCUAAUCUGUUACGGAACCCUUCCCUGAAUAAGAAAAGAAUUAACUGUUAAACAAAUCAAUGGAAACCAUGAGAGCUUCAUGCUCAAAGGAGCUGAAAGAGGCAUUACAAGGAAAUUUUCAAGCCAUACCAAAAUAUUUAGUACAACAGAGAAAAGCUGUUCAAAAAAUUUGUAACCUGAGCAUGAAUGACAACAAUCAUACCUCAAACCAGAUACAGUGUGUCGUUGUCUUAAUUGAAUCAAUUCACUCGCUGCCAUUGAAGGCGGCCUCUCUUCUUCAACAGGUCUUUCAUUUCGUAAGAAUCUACCUCUGAGUAGGGACUGCAAAGUUAAAUGUAUUGGUAGUUAAGAAUAGCCACCCAUGCAAAAAAAAAAAAAAGCCCAGAUACAAAAGAACUUUCAUUGGGCAAAACCAAAAAAAUACAAUAACAUCAAGAUAUGUGAUUACAGAACAGUCCAUGUGUAACCCAUAAAAGAUAAUUCCAACAUCAUAAUGUUUUACUAUAGAAUAAAACAUAUAUAGCAAGUUUUAUUCUUCUACAACGAUGGACUUCCAAUUUCCAGCCGGGCAUGAAAAUUUCGGCAUCUUAAUUCCAAACAGGCAGAUGCAGAGAAAGAAAAAAUAGUGGAAACUGAAGUAAAAUGUAUUUAUGAAGAAUUUUUUAUUUAAAAAAAUAGAAAGAAGAAAAAUAAGUUAUACAUAUGACAAUAUGUUAAGUCAACCUAGAGCAUCAUUGAAGGUUAGAAUUAUAUAACAUUGACAAAACCAUAUAUUAAGUCCAGCAAAGUGUUCAGUCAAUCAAAGAGGCUUAUCUUCCACCAGUAGAAUGGCUCAACUUACCGUAGAAUGCCUUAAGUACGUUAUUAUUGAAACAAGCCAAUCUUACAUGAAAGUAUAAUACUAGUGGAUUCAAAACCUUGCUAUAACAAUGGAACUACCAUCCAUGCAAGUAGAGAACAACCUAUAGUCCUUUUAUUACAACCAAAUAUAUGAAAUACAUGACUCAAGCAAAAGCAUAUAGCACAAUAUUAGUAAAAAAAUAAAAUUUGCCCCUCCAGCAUGUUAGAGACAUAUUGCGCAGAUUAGCUAAGGUAAAAUAAAUAUUAAACAUAUACCUGAAUGCGGUUUCGAUGAGCAAAAUCAGAUACAGCACGGUGUUCCAAUAGAGACUGAAGUUCCCUCUGUCUCUCUCUUUCAAUCCUCAUAAGCAAGUCAAUAACAGCUUGUCGUCCCCGCAACCUCAGCAAGUCCCUCCGAAUAUGCUCUGGUUGGCCUUCAUCAUGGUCAGCAACUGAGCCUUCACGAGGUUGAUUGACUUGUGUGCCAACUGUAGCUGCUGCCUGAUGAUCUUCCCUUCGUCCACCACGAACUCCUCGCUGUUGACUCGUCAUUUGCACCCACUCCCGGACAAUUCUAACUCUCUCACGCUCUGUUUCACCAAGCCAUUCAGCUCUAGGGCCACCAACACGGGAUACACGUGAUGACGAAUGAUCACUAAUCCCACUCUCCAUCCAUCCCCGAACGAUCUGCCUCACCCUCUCCCUCUCGACUUCACCGAGAUCAGGAGAUUGCUCCCUACUAGACCCGUUAUUAUCCCCAACUUCAUUCUGCGACACACCCUGCUCAUUCGACCAUGUUCCAUACUCAUUCUCACUCUCACUUGCAUCAACAACACUACCAUGAUUCUCAGUCUCAUGACUCUCAGACAACGUCGUACUCGACAUAGUUGUAUUGCCAUCAGCAUUCCUUUGCUGCCUCAACCUUUCCCUCACCCUCUCACGUGCCCUAUUCAACAUAUGCUCAUCCUCCAACUCCCUCCACAUUUGCAAAAUCGAAGAAGCCCGAGUAUUAGGCCUCUCGACAGUCCCUCCUUGUCGCCUCGAAUUAGCCGAGGGUGACUCUCGCAAGAACGAAGAGUCGAGCGUGGAAACAGUAUGUAAACCAGCUAAAGCCAUCAAUUCAGACUCCCUAUUCCUCCUCUCAAUCGUGGUUAUCAUUUCCUGAGCCUGCCUAGCAGCCCACCUACUCAAAAUCCUAGAAUGCCGCCUUCUAGCGGCGGAGGAUUCGGCCAAAUCAUCGCCUUCGAGAUCAGACCUUCUUCUCCUCCUAAUAAGCUGAUCACCCUCGUCAUCUUCAUCAUCAGGAUUCCUAUUAGAACUACAUGAUGCAAAUGACAUACAAUCAUCUAAAUGCCCUCUCAUUAAUUCCUCCAAACCCCUUUCAAAUUCAGCCGUGGCAUCAUUUGAGGAGUCUGGUUUUUGCUGUAGAGCUUGAAAAUCUGUCAUUUUUUUCCCCACUUGUACACCUAAUUCUUUUCCAUGAAGCAAAUUUGCCUCAUUCCCCUUAGUACCCAAUAAGAUCACAAAAUUUAGAUCAUUAUAUCAAAUAUUACAAAACCAAACUCUAAUUUGGCUUACAGAAUUCAUCCAAAAAAAAAAACAAUGCCCUACGCCCUAGAAUUGGAUACGAAAAUAGCUCCCAUUCAUUUCUUAACCUGACAACAAUUAAAAAAAAACAAAAAAAGGGAUCAAAAGAAAUGAAUAAUAAUAAUAAUAAUAAUAAUAAUAAAAGAUUUUAAUCGAAAUUCGUAGAAAAUGAAGAAAUAUUCUGGUGAAAAUGGAGACGUACCAGUGAUGUAUUACAAUAGGAAAAGAAAAAAAACCCGAAGUUUCUUUCGCUCUUUUUCGUGUAUUAAAAAUGUGGGAAAAUUGUUUCCCUCAAAAUUGAAAAACAGGAAACUGCAAAAAACAGAAAUCUUGUUUGUUUGGAUAGAAAAAUUGUUUUAAAAAAAAAAAAGAAAGAACGAAAGAAAAGGAGGGGGAGAGAUCAAAGGAAGAGAAUGAUGUGAGAAAUUUAUAAUAAUUAUUACAAGAAAGAGAGAGAAAACUUAUUUUUAUCUCUAUUUUUUCAAUUUUAUUGCUUUUAGUGGUUUUUAUUUAUUUCUAUAAAUAAAAUUACUAACUUUUUAAGGUGAAAAAAGAGGCGCGCCGAUUUACAACAGACUUACACGUAAUAAUAAAUUUGGCUUUUUUAAGAAAUUCUACAUUUUUGUGAAGGACACGUCAUCAAUUUUUUGGAAAAGACUCGGUCACCCACUCACCUCAGUCACUCACUCUUCUUUUUUCAUGCUCAAUCACACCCCAACCCCCACUCUAUUUUUUAUUUUUGUAUAAAAUAAUAAUAAUAAUUCGUCUCUCAAAAAUAGUAUAAUAAUUAUUACAAAUUUUCUUAGAACAAUUACUAGUUUACUAAGGAUCAUUGGUUGAAAUAUAAUUAAAUAAAUUUAUCCAAAAUAAUAAUUUUAUAAAACUUGUUCAAUAUGUCAAUCAAUCGAUUCUUUGAUCAAUAAAUAACACUAAUCAUAUGUAUACAAAAAAAUAUAUAAGUUUAGAUAUGUCAUUUUUCAAAUUAAAUCAUGGUCGAUUUUAAAAUAUUUUUAAGUUAAAAUUUAAAUUCGGCGUAACUUAAUUUAUUUUUCUUUUUUACUUAUUCUCCAAUUAAACUUGUGAUAUGAUCUAUUUAUGUAUUUAAAUUAUAACGUACUUAUAUAAAUAUAUUUUGUGUUCAUGAAUUAAAAUAUAAAAUAAUUAAAGAAAAAUAAAUAUAAUAAUAUUUAUUUAAUAAAAAUAACCCAAAAAUUUUCAAUUAAUAAUCUAAAAUUGGGUAAAUUUCAAAAUAUUUUUGCUACACAGAUUUAAAAAAAUAUAUAUAUGCUUUAGUCCUAAAUAAUACUAAUAGUAAAGGCAAUAAAGUAUUUGUCAUUUUCUUAUUGUGUGUAUUGGAAGAGAAGUGGGGCAAGAUUAAGCAUGUUGGUCCACCACUUUUUAUGUCAUAAUUACAUUGUUUUUCAACCUUUGGUAUAAAAUUAAAUGUGUAGCAAUAUAUAAUUUAAUUAUUCUUUUGAAAUUCCACAUUUUUUACUAUUCAUGAUUUGGUUUUUUAAUGUUUAUUUUACUAUUCAUUCAAAAUUCGUCUACAAUACCCUCUCUCCACUUCCAUUAUUUACCUUUAAAUGCUCUUAAAUAAGAAAACCAAAAAGUAGUGUUUUAUUUUCCUAGGAACAAGUUAGUAAUUUAGCUUUGAAUAAAAGUUUUGACCUAAUUAGUUUGUAUAAAAGUAGACUUCUUUUUUAACAGAUUUACUCAUUAUGUUUUUUUUUCAAUAGAAAAAACAUCAAUAAGAAAAUAUUAAAAUUGAUUUUCAAAGAAACAAAGAGAAAUAAUAUUUAUAAGGAUUAUUCAAUAGCAAGUUGAAUGAAAAAAAAAAGUUGAGUUAUUUCAACCACAAAAUUUAAGAUAUAAAUUGUGAAAUAAAUCUACUAUCAUAUAAAUAAUAAGCAUAAUUAUAUGUUAUUAUUCAUUAUCAUAAUAUGUUAGUGAUUUAAUUUUAUUAAGGUUUACUAGCCUUUAAUUAUUAAAUAAAGUAUGAGUCAAAUAUGUGUAGAUAGUCUAGCAACUAAUUUCUAUUUAAUGAUGGGUUGAUUAGAAAUUAAUGUUAGUGUGCAAAAGUUAUAUAUUAGAGUUAUGAUCCCGAUAACUUUUUUAAUAUCUCAUAUUUAGAAAAGAGAGAGUCACAUUCUCUAAAUUACUUAUAUGCUAAUUUGGAAGAUCAAAACUGCAAAAUCUGUAAAUUUCAAAAAAACGAUGAAUUCAGGUAAACUUCCGCGUCUAAUUUUGUUCUUGAUUUAUUCUUAAUGAUUUGACAUGACAAAUCCUAGUUUAUGGUUUGUUAAGUUUUAUAUUAGAUAUUGUUUUACGGUUCUAGCAAAUGACAUCCGAACCUUGUCAUGUUGAAUCAUUGAGAACGAAUUGAUUCUCUAUUAUUUUUAGAUUAAUUUUUUUAAUAUUUUAAUUUUCGAUUAUGUAUAUUAAUGUUUGAGAUUCAUAUUGAAUUUUUGGGGGGUUUUAUUAUUGGAUUAAAACUUUGGGUUUAUAAGUAUGGAUCGAAAUCUUUGACUGUUAUUGGUUUGGUAUGAAUUGCUUUAGUGGAAUCCACAAGAAUUAUUUUGGGUAAAUUGAAGUUUAUGUCGAUCGAAAACCAUUAAUUCAUAGGCUUAAAUCAAUAUAUACUUUGGAUGUAUUAAUUGAUUUGGUGAUUAAGAUAUUUUUUUCCUCAUACAAUACUCUAGUAGAGUUGAGUAGAAUAAUUGGGUGCAAGGAAAAUUAUAGAUUUAAGAUACGAGUUUUUAAUAUUUAUUAUGCUUUUAUAUUUUGUUUUUGAGAUUUAUUGGCUUGAAAAUAUUUUUUAAGUAUUUAUGCAAGUCUCUAUUUAAUCGUAAAUACAAUUUUGGAUUUACAUGGUAUUUGCGUGAAUUGUUUUGGUGCUUUGUCUAUGCUAAAAUUAUGAAUACAUAUACUUGUUAAUUAUUUGGCUUUAAAUCACUACAUUAUUUUUGUUUGAUUUUGACAGAUAUGGUUUUGCAACAAAAAAAAUCAGUUAAAUAUUAAGGUUUUCAGUUUUUUUAUUACACUAUUUAGACAACAUUAUUUUGAGUUAUUUUGGAAAUUAUAAAGCAAUAAAAAAGUUUUGACCUUUAACUGUUAUGAAAAUUUCAUAUUUAAAUAUUGGUAUAUUUAUAUAUUUUUUAAAAUAACUUAAUUGAAAUAAUAAGUUGUCAAAGUGACCUCUAAUAUUGAAAUUAUUUUGUUUUAAAAUAAAAUGAAGGUUAAUAAUAUUACAUGUGCAACUGUGGUAAUAAACAUAUGACAAUUAUUCAGUUUUAUAUGUGAGUAAUAAAUCGAUCCAAAGGAAGAUUUAUUUUUUGACAUGUUCUUAUUGUUAGUGUUUGAUUACUACACCAAGAUAUUACUUACAAGUUAAUAUUUUGUCCAAAGAUGAUAUCUUAAUAGAGUGUUUCAUAUCUUGAGAUAGAGUUUACCUUUGUUAAAAAAAAUAUUUUGGUUUAAAUUUGAAGUCUUAUGUGAGUUUGUUUUUUUUAUUCAAAUAUUAUUGUAUGUUGUUUUGGGAUAAAUACAUAUAUAUAUAUAUACUAUUAUCUUUUAAUUUGGUUGAAAGAUGAAAUUAAGAGAAAUAUUUUGAAAUAAAUAAAUUCAAAUUUUGGCUUUAGGAUUUAAUUAAGAAUGUCAAAUAUUUUAAAUAGGUUAGUUGAAACAAAAUGCCGUCAAAGUGACUUUUUUUGCGUAGAUUAGUUUAUUUAAAAUAUAAAGAUCAUUAUAUGUUUUUAUGAUUUAUGCGUUUAUUAAUUGACCCAAAAGCAAGUUAAUAUUUGGCAGAAUUUCAACGACAUCUGUAAGGAUAAAUAUGUGACAAUUAUAAGGUACUUUAUAUGAGUAAUAUGUUAGUCCAAAGAUUAAUUUAUUAUUUGACAAAAUUUAUUUUCAAUGUUUGAUUGCUACAACAAAAGUACCACUUAUUGUUAAUAAUAUUGUCCAAAAACUUGAUAUUAAUGUUGUGUUUGGUAUCUUGAAAUGGGAUUACCACCCAUUAUCCUAAAUUUAAUAUUUACUUAUGAAUAUUGAUGUGAGUUUAUAUUUAUUUUUUGUUUUAUAUUCAGCUAGCUUAUCUGUUACUGCCACAAUAUCUACUAAUAUAAAUUAUAUACUCAUGCUUAAUGGGACUAAUUUCAAUGAAUGGAAAAGGGACUUACUUAUAGUGCUUAGUUGUAUAGACAUGACCUUACACUAAAAGAAGAACAAUACGAACCUCUUACUGCAGAAAGCACCUCUUAUGUUAAAAGGGAUUUUAAGAGGUGAGAUCGUUCAAAUCGCAUGAGUCUAAUGAUCAUGAAGCACAGUAUUUUAUAAGCCUUUAGGGGCACAGAAUUUGAAAAGUUACUCAGGACAAGUGUUUCCUUAACGAAAUUGAGAAACGUUUUGCUAAAAGCGAUAAGGUUGAGAUGACAUCACUUCUGACUUCUUUGAUGCUUAUGAAGUAUAAGGGUCAAGGAAACAUGAUGGAGUACAUUAUAGAGAUGUUUCAUGUUGCCUUAAGACUUAAGGCACUUAAAAUCGAGCUUUCUGAGGAAUUGUUUGUUCUUUUGGUUUUGCUAUCGUUUCCUGCACAGUUUAACCAAUUUAAAAUUAGUUAAAUCUGUCAAUAGGAGAAAUAGACACUAAAUGAGCUAAUUUCUUAUUGCGUGUAAAAGGAAGAAAGGUUGAAACAUGAUAAGUUUGAAAGUGCUCAUUUGGCCAGUGCCUUUAAAGGUAGUAGCUUACAUUCUGAAUAGAAUACUCACUAAAGCAUAUACAAAAAUACCUUAUGAGCUUUGGACAAAUUGAAAGCCUAGUCUAAAGCACUUUCACAUUUUGGGAUGUCCAACUGAAGCAAGGCCACAUGAAAAGAAAUUAAACUAAAAAAUAGUAAGCAACUACUUUAUUGGUUAUUCUGAGCAAUCUAGAGGUUAUGAAUUUUAUGAUCCCACAAUUAGGAAUAUUUUUUAUACGGGAAUUGCAACUUUUUUAAGGAUGUUAAGUUUGGAGGGAGAAAUAAGGUUAGAGACAUUGCUUUUGAGAAGGAAUUGGAUUCUAGCUCAAUUCCUGCUAUCAAUUUUUACAAUGUUUAGGUUCUCAUACCUAUCAUUGAUGAAGAAGUGAAUCCAGAACCUUAAUAAGACAAUGUUGAACAACUCCCUAUUCAAGACGAGGUAAUUGUUCUAGAAGAAAAAACUCAACAACCUCAAGAAUGGCUUUAGUGGAAUAUUUUAACCUUAAACUUCAUUAGAUGAAUGUUAAGUUAAUGGUUUCUUAAUGGUAACAUUGAUCAUACAUUUAUAUGGCGCAACUAGAAAACUUUUUGUUUGAUGAUGCAAAGUUAAUGAUUUGCAAAUUAAAGAACUUCAUCUAUGGACUUAAGCAGACUUCUCCUCAAUAGUAUUACAAAUUUUACCAAAUGAUUAUCUCAUUUGGUUUAGAGAUAAAUUUAGUAGAUAAUUGUAUAUACCACAAGUUCAAUAGGAGUAAGGUUCUGUAUUUGGUUUUAUAUGUUAAUGACAUACUACUUAUCAAUAAUAAGUUAAGUCUCGACCAAUAUCCCAAGAAUGAUUUUGAGAUUAAGGAAAUGCAAAAGAUUCCCUAUGUCUCAAGAGUGGGGAGUCUAAUGUAUGUUUAGGUUUGUACACAUUCAAAUAUUGUAUACAUUGUUGGGAUGUUAGGCAGAUUUUUAAGCAACAUUGGUUUAGACCAUUGGAUAACAUCCAAGAGGAUUAUGAGGUAUCUUUAAAAAAGAAAAAGUUACAUACUCACAUAUCGGAGGUCAGAUAAGUUAAAGAUCAUUAAGUAUACAAAAUCCGGUUUUGAUGGAAUAUUGAUGCAAAAUUUUGUCACUAAGGUGCAAAUUGUGACAAUAAUAGGUAGUCCUCUAUUCCAAUAACAACAAGAGCACAUCAAAGUAAAAACACAUAGACUUUAAGUUCCUAGUUGUUAAAGUAAAAUAUCACAGUGGUUAGGUGUCUAUAAAGCAUAUUGAGACAAACUUCAUGAUUGUGGAUCCACUUAUUAAGAAACCACCACUUAAGGUUUUUCAUGAGCACACUACUUAUAUGUGUGUAACAUCAUUUAAAGAUAUUUGGUUUUAGUGAGAGUUUGUACUUUUUAAUGCUUUUAUGUUAUAAACAUCUUUUCAGUUAUUUCAGUUUACGAAUAUUAAGUUUAUUUUCUGUAGAAAUAAAGUUUAUUUGGUUUAUUCACACUCUGAUUUUGGUAAGGUUUGAUCUCAUUAAGGUUUAAGGAGGACCAAUUGAAAAUAGACAUGUUUAGAUCAUAUUACAUGCAAUUUUUAUGCUACACAUCCAUACUUGAUCUAUAUCAUUUGGUUGUGUUAAUAUACAUGAUCAGGGAUGAAUUUAGUUAUGGCAUAUGCAAUGAAAGUCGCAUUGGUUAUAUGUCAACAUAAUUAAUGGACCGGAUUGUUCGGAAUACCUUUUUAAAUAUGAAGUAAAGUUUUGAGCUCAUAAGGUUAUAUAAACAUAUAAUUAUAGAGUAAUUAAUAUAUGUGGUCCAAGUGAGAGAUUGUUAGAAAAUAUGGACAUCACAUAUAUAAUAAGAGUAAUUACAUGUUAUUAUUUACUAUCAUAAUAGGUUAGCCCAAAUUAAAAGUGAUCUAAUUUGAUUAAAGUUUAUUGGGCUUUAAUUAUUAAAUAAAGUAUAGGUCAAAUGUGUGUAGAUACUCUAGUAACUAAUUUCUAAUUAAUGAUGGGUUGAUUAGAAAUUAUGGUUAAUGUGCAAAAUUUAUAUAUUAAAGUUAUAGUCCCCAAAUUACACAUAAGAUAACUUUUCUAAUAUCCUGUAACAGCCCGAUUUUGGUAAAAUAGGAACAGUGGUUUCGAGACCACAAAUCUGAUUCUGGAAAGGAAAUUUAUUUUAAUAUUAUUUUAUGAUCUACAGUAUGGUAAUAAUGUCAAAUAAAAAUGCUCGUUCGAACUUCCCGAUAUUGGCUAUCCGGAGCUUCCUGAUAUGGUUCUUUGUGAACUUCCUGACAAGGUUCUUUGUGAACUUCCCGAUUAUGGCUCUUAUAAGCUUCCCGUUAUAUAUCCCGGAUAAGCUUCCCGAUAAGCUUUUUAUAAGCUUCUCGAAAUGGCUCUAUGUGAGCUUUCCGUUACAAAGCUCGAGAGUGUGCUUCCUGAUUAUGUGCCCUAAUUAGGUACUCCUGAAUAUGAAUUGAAGAAUUUCUAAUUUGUACAAUUUGAGUGUACUACAUGCUUAUCCAUCGAUAUUUCAAAUAAAUUCAGCAGGUAAAAUCCUAACAUGAGGAAAUAUGGUCAUGAAACGAAUUAUUAUGAAAAUGUACUUGAAUUACAUUGAUUUGAAUUAUACCUGUUACAUGAACACGAAUUAUGAGAAAUAUUUGAACAAGGAAAUUUGACUAGUGUUGAGUUAAUAUAUUUUCUGAUAUUCAUGAAAAAUAUAUGUUUAACAUGAAUUCAAAACAAACUAUUACUGAAACAAGCCUGAGAUACAUGGAAAUGAUAGUAUUUGUUGUGUUGAAGUAUGACGUACUUCGUACAAGAAUGUGGAACAUGCUUAAUAACUUUGUACUUUUGUAAUAUAUUUGAAAAUAUGUGAUGGAAGACAUAUGUGUAUGAAACUUGUCUGACGAUUGUGUAUAUUCGUGAUUAUGAGUUAUUACCCAGAAUACAUGACUGGCAGGGUUAAUGAGGAUAUGUGUUUAGGCAUUUGGCCAACAUGACUUGGAAAUAAAUUGAAUGUUUACCUAUAUUUAAGAUAGUGGUAAGUUAAAUUCCAAGUUAUACGAACUUAUUAAGCAAAAUAUGCUUACUCUAUUUUAUUUUCCCCUAUCCUGUAGUGAUUCGGAAGCUUAUUGGAUUGGAAGCAUAGGCGGAGAUCACUCACACUAUCCAUCAGCUUAUUUCGGUAUAUAUGGUAAAUCACUUAUGGUUAUAAUGGCAUAUAUAGGUUAUUUAGCCAAAUGAUGGCAUAUAAAUGUUUUGAAUGAAACUAGCCAUUGGGAAUGGCUUGUGUUUGACAUAUUUUGAUAUAUUUAUAAGUGGUUCUAUCAUGUUUAAAGAAUGAAUGUGAUAUUACAUAUAUGCAUUUAGUAACUAGAUGAGUACGAAUAAUAGACUAAAAUGAAAAUAAAUUGUCAUCUAAGGUACCUACAGGUACAUUGGUUGUAUGUUAUAUUAUGUCAUGUUCAAGAUAUGAUUUAGACUUGUGUUGAAUGCUUUGACAUGGUUUGUGAAGGUGUUCAAGUAUUAGUGUAGGUGAAAGACAAAAAGGGUGAUAAAUGUGGCUUGGAAAAUAGCCUAUUUUUGUCCACACGGGCAUAUGUCUCAGCCGUGUGUCACACACGGCUUAGCACAUGAGCGUGUGAUUUGGCCAUAUGUCCCCUACAUCUUUAAAAUGUCAAAACAAAAUGCUCAGAAUUGAUCACACGGCCUAGCACACGGGCGUGUGGCUUGGCCGUGUGACCACUGCACCUACACACGGUCUAGUACAUGGGUGUAUGACCUAACCAUGUGACCCAAGUCAAAGAGUUACACGGCCUCAGAUGCGGACGUAUCCCUUGAUGUGUGGUUCACAUGGCCUAACCACACGGGCUUAUGACCCCUACACUUAGGAAAAAAUUUGAAAUUUUACGAAAAAAUUUUUGAGUACCUGGUUUAGUCCUAACAUGAUUCUAAUGCAUGAUUUGGGCCUUGAGUGCUCAUGUAAGGGACUAUAUGAUUAAAUUUGAUUGAAAUCUGAUAUGAAUGCUAAACAUUUAUGAAAUGUCUAUUACUUGACUCGUAAAUUUCGGUAAUACUCCAUAACCUUGUUCCGGCAAUGGAUUCGAGUUAGGGGUGUUACGUAUCCCAUCUUUAGAAAAGAGAGAGCCACAUUCUCUAGAUUACUUAUGUUGGAAAAUAAAAACUGCAAGAUCCAUAGUUUCAAGAAAUCGAUGAAUUCUGGUAUGCUUCUGCAUCUAGUUUUGUUCUUGAUUUAUUCUUAAUGAUUUGACAUGCAAAUCCUGGCUUAUGGUUUGUUAAGUUUUAUAUCAGAUAUUAUUUUACGGUUCUAGCAAUAAACACCAAUGACCAAUAGAUUAAAUAUUGAAAUGCUAGUAAUAUACUUAAGUUACUUGAAAGUAUUGUUUUUCUAACCACUAUAGUAGUGACGGAGUUAGGAUGUUAAUCUUGGAAGGGUCAAGUUAAAAUGAGAUGUACUACGUAAAAAUUUGUUUUUAUCAAGAAUAAUAUUUUAUAAUAUUAUUUUUAAUACUAUAAAAAUAUUGAAAAGACCUACUUUUAUAUUUUGGAGGGUCAUAGCAUGUAUAUAAGAAGAGAAAUUGAAAAAUCUUAAACUUUGAGGGACUGUGAUCCUUUGGGUCUCUUAAUAGCUCUGCCACAGCACUAUAGAUACAAUAUAUGCACAUAAUUAGUUCUAACAUUUUUUUUCAAACACAUUUAAAGAAUAUAUUGAGUAAUACAAGUUAGAGGUGAAUAAACUGUGAUGUAAAUCAAAUUUUAUCUCCACAACUAGCUUAUUAUAAAAUUCAUAAAUUAUAAACAUGUUUAUAGUUAAAAAAUGUAUUUUAAUUUGUAUAUUUGUAUUAUUUUCCUGUAAAAAAUUAUAAUAUUAUUAAUUUAUAUUAAUUUUAAAAAGUUUAUAAUUGGAAUUAAUUAGAUAUAUUUGUUUAAUGUAUAUAUUAUGUUGUUUAAUUAUUAUUUCUCAUUUUGUAUUAAUGUAGCAUAAUCAUGAUUUUUCUUUAAGUCUAAUUGUUUUUUAUUAAAAACAUCUAAUUGUUAACGUUAAAAUCUUUUAUAAAUAAGCUGAGAUUUCUUUCAUUGUAAAAUCUAAAUAAUUAAUGAGUUAUCAAAUUAAAUUAAUUAAUUAAUUUAUAAUUUUAUAAUGUUUUAAAUUUAAAAUAGAAUAUUUAACAGGAAAUUUAAUAGUUUAUUGAAUUAAUAUACUUAAUUCUACUCAUUGAAGAUUCUUUUUAUUUAAUAAAUUAUAAUUAAUAAGUGAAAUUUAAUCAUUUUAUUGAAAUAAUAUUUUAAUUAAUAUCAUUUUUAUUUAAUAAAUGAUAGAUAAUUAAUAUGCUUGCUUAUUUGAAAUAAUUAUAAUUUAGACCAUAUGUUGUUAUAGAUAACUAAUUUAAUAAAGAACAUGCUUCAUAAUUAUGGAUGUUGUUGUUAUAAGUGAAAAACUAUUAUAAAAAAUUAAAAUAGAACACAAAAAAUCCACUAUUCUUGAAAUUUGAUUGUUAUAAGGAGAGUUGAGUGUAUAUAUAAACUAAAAUAAUUAUCAACACGAAGUAUUCCUCUAAUAAAAUAAAUUAAAGUUUCUUUUUAUGAGAAUGGCAGGAAUAUUAUAAUUAAAUAAUGUAAAAAAUAGAUUGUAUAUUAAUAUUAUAAACCAUUUAUAUAAUGAAAAAUAUUAAUUAAAAUAUAUUUUAAAAAAAUACUUUCUUAUUAUUAAAAAAAUGAAAAAAAUUCUUAUUUGGCACUAAAAAAAGUUAAAACUCUUAUUAUAAUAGACACUAAAUUAGAAAGGGAAAUGGAGAAUAAUGUAACAAAUUCUUUGUUGUUGUGAUGAUUGAUGUAUUUGUUAUUGAAAAAUGUUAGUCAGAAUCAAGGUUUAAUAAAGUAAAUUUCAAUUAAACAUCCUGGGAGAAGGGACAAUUGAGAGAGUAGGUUCAUUGCAAAUGAGAAAUCAUUUUCUCUAUUAAUAUUAUUAUUUUGUAUAAAAAAAUCCUUUAAUAUAAGGAUAGAAAAUAUUUAUUUUUCAGAAAAAUAAAGGUGAUAAAAAUCAAUUUAAAGAAAUUAUUAUAGAAUUAGAAUAAGAAAUUUGAUACACAUCCAGACUCUAAUGUUUAUUAAAAAUAAAAUUUAUCCCUUAACUUCCUCUGCUAAACUAAAAUCUAAGUUUCUCAGUUCAACUUUUGUUUAGAUUGUAAAAGAAAAAAGGGAUUUGAACCAAACAUGCUAUUGUUAUUUAAAAAAGUGUUAAAUAUGAUUCAUAUUUUCAGUUAAAUUUGAAAAAUAGUCUUUCAGUUAAACUCUAUUUACUUGUUUCAAUCAAACACUGAUUAGUUUAGAUUAUUUUAUUAUUAUUUGAUCUAUGAAUUUAGCCUAUAAAUAGGCUCUUUUACAACCUUAGAAAAUACACCCAUUAGAGAUUAGAACUCAUAACACAUUUAUAGAAUUUUAUGUUUACGUUUUGAGGGUUCUUUGUUUUCGGGUUUUCGGGAUUUAGUCUUAAUCUCCAUCUUUUGUACUCUUCAUUCUUUUGCUAUUAUAGUAAAAUUAUCUUUGCCCGUGGUUUUUUAUCCUCUUUGGAGGGGUUUUUCCACGUUAAAUUUGUGUGUUCAAUUUCUCAAUUUAUUCCGCUAUUUUACUUGUUCGCUGCUUAAUCGGGUCGAAAUCCUAAGAAGAAGCCAUAACCACUCAGCUGUUGUAGGUUUUUAGAGUAAAUUGGAUUCAAGAAAAUCAAAACAAAACCAGCCAUACUAGACGCAUUCAAAUUUCUUUUCCACUUAGCUGCUAUAAAGCUUUUAUAUUUUAUGGGCUAUUCUCCCACUGUACAAAUUUAGAGCAACUAAUUUUAAUUUUAAUUUAUCAUUCAUUUCAUUAACUUAUUUUAUUUCUAUAUUUUUCAAGGAUGGUGAAUUUUUUUAUUUCAGCACUCAUAUUGGAUUUAUUGAGAAAUUUAGAUUGGUAAGAAACUUCCAUGAUUUUUUUUAAGUAUUGUUUGUGACCAUUACCAUUUUAUUUUUUCAAAAUUUGAUAGAAUUAUUGAAUUAAAUUAUUAAAUAUUCACAUGUUCAUAAGAUUUACUAGUAUAUUAUUUUUAAAUAAUUGUCUAAUAUCGUAUAAUAUUUAAAAAAAACAUCGUAUAAUAAUAUUCUUUUUUUAUUUAAUAUUUUAAAGGCUUGGGUUUGGGUAAAAAUAUAUUAAUAUCAUGUUGCUUGAUAUUUGAGUACAUAUAGUAAGUUUUGUUUGUUUGGGUUACCUUAAAUAUUUUUGAUUGUUUAAAUAUAUAUAUAUUAACUGUCACCUCAAACUUAAGCUUUUAUGGUAUUGGUUCCCUUUAAAUAAAAAAUCUACUGGGACAUUUAGACAUCUGUCAUACUAGUUAUGUUGCAUUCUCUAAAGUGAAUACAAGCAUAGAAAAAAUUAAAUGAUAUAAUCAUGAACGUGAUAAGUGACAUAAUAAUGACCACGAGAAGUGGAAAUAUAGUAUUAAAUAAGAGAACAAUAAAAGUUCUCAAGAUAAUCCUUAAAAGUAAGAGAUAAUUUAUAUUAUCAAUAUGAUAUGAAAGAUUAUUGGUCACAUACCUGUCUAUAUCCAAAUAUUUUGUUCAACCCUAUUAAUAUCCUUUGAGGAAAGAAAUAUAUGCUUCAAUGACAAUGUAACUAUGAAUAAUAUCCUUAUAUGUAGAAAGUGUUUAUCUUAAUUGGCACUGAAACAAAUUAAUAUUAAUGCAAUAUUUAAUAGUAUAAAAUUAGUUGAAAGCUUCAAAAGAGCUAAUAUGCUAAUAUCUGAAGGAACAAAAUUUGUGAUUGUUAACACAUUAUAUUCUAGUCAAUCUCAAAGAAGUUAUUAAGUUUUAAAAUAUAUUCAUUGUAAUGGAUCUCAUUUUGUUAUUGUGAAUGAGGAAAUAUUACAUUUGGUAUGAAUCACUCUUGCUAUUAAUAUCUACCUAUUUUGAUUUUGAAAAGGAUAGAGAAAGAUUUGUCAGUUAUGUAUAACAAACUAGAUUUUCUAUGAUGACAUAUUUAUACUUUUGUAUAAAUUGUUGAGUAAACUGAAAUACCGAUAUUCUGAGAUUGUUAUUAUGAAUUCUGAGAUACUAUUGAUGGUUAAUCUGAAAAAUCGAUACUCUAAUCUGUUAGUUAUUCACAAUUAUUCUAUGUGUUAUUAUUUAGUAUAACUUAUGAAUUGUUUGCACUAGUUUUAAUUGUGAUGAAACUCACACUAAACAUUAUAGUUCACUUUCUUUUAAAUUUCCAUCUUUUCAAAUAAUCCACCAGGUUAGAAUGCAGGUUAGAAUGCAGGCACAACAUUCAGAGGGGCUCAGCUCGGAUAUGUUUUUCUAUAUAAAUAUUUUAGAUUUAUUAUUUGAUAAAUUAUUAUUCAGAAAUUGUAUGGAUUUAUUUUUGAACUUGGGAUGGGAUUUAAGUUUUGGUUUUAUUUAGUAUACAUGACAUUUAACUUAAUUUUUAAGACAUGAUUUUUAUUUAAUUAAGCAUGAAAUAUAUUUUUGAAAAAAUUAAGCUAAAUGUAACACCCUAAACCUGACCUAGACAUUAUGGCCGAAUCCAGAAGUGUCACAUGAAAUGGGUUGAAAAAAAAACCAUUGUCGUUAAGUUAAAACAUUUCCAGUUAUUAGCCUUUAGAGUUAUUAUUAAUUUCAAACCUUUCGUUCAUUUAAUCAUCUAGAGAUAAAACGUUUUGUAGCGGAAGCGUGUAAAAACGUUGAGCCCAGAAAACCGUUCAAGAUUCUAGAAAACCACCACAGUUUUAAAUAAGUAAAAACCAAAACCCAAAACCAAUGUCAGAAUAUUAAAAGAGUCCAGAGUCCCAGAAAAUACAACUUCAAUGCCAAAACUUAAUAACCCCAAAAUAAAAUGAAACAGUAAAUUAAAUGGUUACCGUCGAGUCCUCCGCUACACCGAUCCGCCUAAGACUGUGGGUUACCUAUACAGACAAACAGAAAACGGGAGGUGAGUUUACGUAAACGCAGUGUGCAACCCAGCAGAGUUAAGCAUGUAUACAUAUAGAAUAUCACAAAUAAGACAGAUUCACAAUCGGGCCUAAGCCCAUGUUAGAUACAGAUACAGAUUCGGGCUAAGCCCAUUUCAGAUACAGAUACAGUCACAUAUAUACAAAUCAUAUAACAGAAUCCUACCCUCAUCCUCUACACAACAUCUCUGACCAAUCCUACAUACCAUGUGGAGUUUAAAACACCCACCCAGCCCUACACACCAUGCUGUAUUGAUGCGGCAUAUAUCAGAUAAAAUGCAGCCAUGCUGCUAGAUAAUAAGCACAAAAAUGCCUUUCAGAACACUUCCUCCAAUAUACAUCAACCCAUCCCCAAUAUUAGAUAACAUAACAUGCAUACAGAAUUAACGAAUAUAUCAUGCUUGACAUGCAUUAAAUAACGAAUAAUAGAUAUUCACCUAGCAUAAUAAUAUCAAACUCAGAACAGAUUUUAGACUAUCAGAUCACAUAAAAUUUAAGGUUAGAUAGCUUUUACCGACCCUACGGUAGGCCCACAGUCGAUUAGGACGACCCGUGCGACCCUACAAAAAAUUUUAGUGUAAUGGGCCUACAUACCCGUGGGGCCUACCUGUAUGGGCCCACAUGCCUAGAUUGGUCGUGCCCGUUUGGAUUACACGGCCUGGCCCAGGUAUCAUACGCCCGUGUGAUAUGCCCGUGUGGGCCUACACGCCUAAUUUGGCGUAACCCAUGAGACCCACAUGGCCACACCCGUCCAUCACACAGCUGUGUCUUGUGCACGGCCUGGCAUUCUUUGAUCACACAGUCGUGUCAUCCCACACGGCCGUAUGGCGUUGACAGAGGGGUUUUUUGGCUUUUUUCGAAUCCUAUUUUUCUACAUUUCGGGUACACCUAGUACGAUUUUGAUGCUAAAACUAUCCUGAGCCUUUUGAGACCAACACAGAGUACCUAACAUCGAAAUUAGCAAUUGAGUUACGAAUUUCUCAAACACAAAUCGAGCCAAACACACUCACUUACCGUAAUCACACUCGUUUAAUCGCGCAAAUCAGACCGUUAGAGUGAAUCUACUGUUCACUAUCGUUCCCUACAUAACAAAUUAUGGAACUUCAAUCUUUAGAAAUCAGAAACUAAAAGAAUACAAUGACCCCACUUAUCGAUUUCACAACAACCAAGAUUCGAAUGUCUGCAAGCAGAAUUUAAUGACUGAAUUGGAAAGUGAAGAAGGAAGGGUUUACUAUUAUUUCUCAAAGGCAGAAAAAGAAAAGAGAAGAGAAAUCAAAGGGAAAAAUCCUAUUUGGAAAAAAAAAGGAAAACAUCAGAACCCAAAAAUUUUUGAAAAAAAAUAAAAACAAAAUAAAAUCCUAGAUAAUAUCCCCUCCACUACCCCACUACUGACAACUCCCUCAGAACUCCAGCACAACUGAAACUCUAUCAGAUAACAGAGCAAAAAUAAAUACCCAAACUCACGCGGGGAUUCAAACUUAGGACCUCUAACACUUCAGUUCCUUUACCAUUUAAACCAGCAAGCUCAUUCUGAUAUAAAAUUACAAACAAUUAAACAUAAGCCCUUUGAACAAAGAUAGGGCUUUAUUCCAAAACUAACAAAAUUUGCCCAGGGUAAGCCUUAAACCCAAAACCUCUCACAUACUCCCAGAACACUUGGACACUGAAGCAGAUACACACUUAUAUCACAUUUUCACAAAGCAGAAAUAAAAAAUUUGGGGCAUUACAACUCUACCCCCUAAAAGAAAUUUCAACCUCGAAAUUUACCUGAUCAGAACAAAUGAGGCUACUGUUGACGCAUCAAAUCCUCAAGUUUCCACGUAGCUUCCUCAAUGCUAUAAUUCCGCCACAACAUCUUCACUAAUGGAAUGGACUUUUUCCUUAGAACCUUAACAUCAUGAUCCAAAAUCUGGACAGGCUCCUCCUCAAAAGUCAAGUCCGGUCUAACCUUGAUCUCUUCCACUGAGACAACAUGGGAUGGAUCAGAACGGUACCGCCUCAACAUCGAGACAUGAAACACAUCAUGAAUAUGGUCUAGUUUAGGGGGUAACUCCAACUGAUAAGCAACUGGUCCCACACGCUUCAAAUUCGGUGCGGUCCAAUAAACCUAGGGCUCAGCUUGCUCUUACGACCGAACCUCAGAACGUUCUUCCACGGAGAGACCUUAAAGAAAACAAAGUCCCCCACAGAAUACUCGAUCUCAUGCCCUUUCAGAUCUGCAUACGAUUUUUGUCUGUCAGAAGUCGCUUUUAGAUGAUCUCGAAUUAGUCUAACAUUAUCCUUAGUCUCAGAAACCAAUUCAGGACCCAAAACUCAACAUUCACCCAACUCAGUCCAACAUAAAGGAGUACAACACUUACGACCAUACAGAGCCUCGUAAGGUGCCAUCUGAAUACUAGCUUGGAAACUGUUAUAGGUGAAUUUAACUAGCGGCAGAUAAUCCUCCCAACUACCUCGGAAAUCAAUCACGCAACUCAGAAGCAUAUCCUCCACUAUGUAAAUCACCAUCUUAGAUUGACCAUCAGUCUGAGGAUGGAAUGCAGUACUGAAGUCCAACCUUGAACCUAAAGCCUCUUGUAAUUUCUUCCAAAAUCGAGAAGUGAAGUGAGGAUCUCUGUUAGAAAUGAUCGAGCCAGAGACCCCAUGCAGUCUUACAAUAUCAGAAAUGUACAACUUCACUAGCUUUUGCAGAGUGUAAUCAGUUCGAACCCGAAUAAAGUGAGCAGAUUUGACCAAUCGAUCCACGAUGGCCCAAACAAAAUCCUUUUUAGUGAGUGUCAGGAGCAACCCACUAAUGAAAUCCAUAGUCACUCAUUCUCAUUUCCAUAAGGGAAUCUUGACUGGCUGCAACAAACUCGAAGGUAAGUGGUGUUCAGCCUUAACUUGCUGACAAGUUAAACAACAAACAACGAAAUUCGUAAUCUCACGCUUCAACCCUGGCCACCAAUACAACUCACGGAGAUCACAAUACAUCUUAUUACCACCGAGAUGCAUAGCAUAAUGGCUACUAUAUGCCUCCUUCAGAAUCGAUUAUCUCAAAUCAGAGUCAUUUUGCACACAAAUCUGGCCUCGAAAACACAGAAUAUCAUCACUAUUCAAUCCAAAAUCUGUAAUAGUACCACUUUCUAUCUGACGGAAUCGUACACCCAGAGUCUUAUCUAUUAGCUUUUUAUCUUGAAUCUGCUCAAUCCAAGUCGGCUUAACUUGCAAAUCGGCCAAAAAACUCCUAUCAUUAAAUAGACUAAGGCGGGCGAACAUCGCCCUUAGAUGAAUAAUCACCCUACGACUUAGAACAUCGGCCACCACAUUGGCUUUACCCGGAUGAUACUCUAUCAUGCAAUCGUAGUCCUUAAGUAGCUCAAUCCAUUGACGCUAUCUAAGAUUCAACUCCUUCUGAGUGAAGAGAUACUUGAGGCUUUUAUGAUCGGUGUAGAUAAUACACAUCUCACUAUACAGAUAGUGCCUUCAAAUUUUCAGUGUAAAGACCACAGUAGCCAACUCGAGGUCAUGCGUCGGAUAAUUUCCUUCCUGUGUCUUAAGCUGACAGGACGCAUAAGCCACAACCUUACCAUCUCGCAACAAAACACAACCCAAUCCAACAUGCGAUGCAUCACUAUAUACUACAAACUCCCUUCCAAAUUCAGGCUGCAUUAGAAUAGGAGCCUGAGUCAGAAUAGAUUUGAGCUUCUCAAAGCUCGAUUACUGCGUAUCAGUCUAGACAAAUGGUACACCCUUACGCAGGAGUUUUGUUAACGGUGCAGUAAUCAAAGAGAACCUCUCAAUGAAACGCAGAUAGUAUCUUGCCAAACCCAGUAAGCUAUGUAUCUCAGAUACACUCUUAGGCUAUUUCUAAUCCAGUACUGCUUCAAUCUUUUGAGCAUUAACACGAAUCUCCUCAGCAGAAACCACAUACCCCAGAAAACUUACUUCACGUAGCCAGAACUCACACUUGCUAAAUUUAAGGUAUAGUUGCUUCUCACGCAGAAUUUGAAGCACUACUCUAAGAAACUCAUCAUACUCAUCCUCAGUCGUAAAGUAUACCAGAAUGUUGUCGAUGAAGACCACAAUGAACUGAUCCAGAUAGGACUGAAAUACCAGAUUCAUCAGAUCCAUGAAUGCAGCCGGGGCACUUGUUAAACCAAAAAGCAUAACUAGGAACUCGUAAUGUCCAUAACGAGUCCUAAAUGCGAUCUUAUGAACAUCAGCCUCCUUAACCCUCAAUUGAUGGUAUCCCGAUCGAAGAUCAAUAUUAGAGAACACCAAAGCCUCUCGGAACUGAUCAAAUAAGUCGUCAAUCCUCGGAAGUAGGUACUUAUUCUUAAUGUUCAGCUUGUUCAACUACCGAUAAUCUAUGCACAUCCUCAUGGUCUCAUCCUUCUUCUUAACAAACAGUACUGGUGCUCCCCACGGAGACAUACUCGGAUGAAUGAAGCCACGGUCCAGCAACUCCUACAAUUGAGCCUUAAGUUCUGCAAGCACUUUUGGUGCCAUUCGAUAGAGAGCGAUAGACACUGAAGCUGUACCCAGAAGAAGCUUGAUCCCAAACUCAACCUCUCAGUUUGGAGGCAAUCCCGGUAACUCUUCAGGAAAAAUAUCUAAAAAAUCCCUCACAGUUUUGAUAUCCCCAAUUGAAGAGUUACUAGAAGCAGUAGUACUGACAUAAGCCAAAUACACCUCACACCCUUUCUGGACCAGUUUCUCAGCUACCAGUACGGAGAUCACAUGCGACAGAUAAUCUCAACGCUCUCCAAUCACAACCACCUCUUUAUCUUUCUCAGUUCUCAGAAUGACCCUCUUAGUCGCACAAUCUAGAAUAACCCGAUGCUUGACCAAUCAGUCCAUUCCCAGAAUUAUAUCGAACUCUCAAAAGGAAAGCUCCAUCAGAUCUGCCAGAAAAACAGUUCCUUGCACCACUAAAGGUACAUCCUUAUAGAGUUUACUAACCCGAACAGAUUGCCCCAAUGGACUCAAUACAAUGACCUCACUCGUAGUGCUCUCAACUAUAAUCCCUAGGUUUCCAGAUACAGUACUAGCUAAGUAAGAGUGAGUAGACCCUAUGUCUAUCAAAGCCACGUAAGGUACACCAAAUAUAAAGAACAUACUAGUGAUGAUGUCAGGAGCAUCUCUGUCCUCGCGACUACGUACAACACAAACCAAAGUAGGCACCUCACCUCUGUCUGACCCGUACCUCUGCCCGGUGCUCUCUGCCCUCAACCCAUACCAUUACCACCCUUAGCCUAUCCAUGGCCCCUAGGUGGCUGCUAAACUAUUCUAUGAGGUUGUACAGUACCCGAAGCUAGAGCUUGCAUUUGAUUUGUACGCUGUGGAUACUCUUUAAUACGGUGCUUAAGAGACCCAUACCUCAAACACGCCCUAGUUCUCCUUCAGCACUUGCCUGGAUGGAGUCUCCUACAAUCACUACAAGGCUGUAACCCAAUAGGAGUAACAGAAGCAACAGGGGCCCCCACUCUAACUGCCCAUCAGAUCUGGCCUUUUUCUUAGGCCUCAGAACAAAACUAGAGGGCUUUGAAUCCCUCUUAUUCUUACAUUUCUCCCUAUCUUUAUCCUAGAGCUCAGCACGUUUAACAUCUUCGGUGAUCUUCGCCUUCUCUACCAGAAUAGAAAACUCGUCCACCCUCUACGGAGUAAUCAGAAUCCUCAAAUUAUCCCUUAAGCCGUCCUCAAACCUAACACACCUCUCAUACUCGGACGUCACCAUGCCUCAAGCGUAGCGGCUCAACCUCAGAAAUUCGGUCUCAUACUCGGCCACAGGUCGGUCACCUUGCGUAAGGUUCAAAAACUCACACCUGUGAGCAUCUACAUAGCUGGCUCCCACAUAUUACUCUGAAAUGUAGUCUUAAAGAACUUUCAAGUCACACGGUCAGGCUGAGUGCCUUUCUUAACUGACAACCACCAUUAAUAUGAUUCGUCGCAAAGCAAAGAGACUGCACCCUUCAAUUUCUGCUUAGGGGUACAGUCCAUAUAAUCUAUAAUCCUCUUGUGGCCUCCAACUAGUACUCGACCACAUUAGGGGUAACUCUUGUGACACCUCUAAAUAACUCUGCUCCAUUAGACCGGAGUCGUUCAGUUACCGACCUUCAGCCUCUAGAUCCAGAAUUGGGUCCAGCGACCUACUCUAAUAUCCUCAACGUGGCUUAAGACAGUGGGUCAUCCCCAGCCGAUCGAAUCUGAGGCCCAAUCUUAGUAGUAGUGACACUGGUGUCUCACCAGUGUCUAAGUUCUGCAUGCUGUUCAAAUAUGAUGACUCAGCUUGAGCCCCCUUACGGCCUCUACCUCAGCCUCGAGUACUACAUCCUCGAAUACCUUAUGCGCUCAUUGUCUAAUUCGAGUUUAUCUACAUUAAGAGUUUUAUGCAUCAGUUUAAUAUUUAUUAACAAAUAUUUUAUGCAACAUUUAUCAGAAAUUUAAGAGUUGUUUUCAGAAAUUUCAGUUUUCUAACUAUCUCAGUACAGUCUCAAUAAGUACUAUCUACAGUAUUUCAGAAUAGUUUAACCUAGUACAAAAAUACUUACAGGAUCGACACUGGAGACUUGGUGUACCACAUACUUAAACCAACUAUUUUUAAACCAUUUUGCAAACCAAUUAUUUAAAACAUAUUUUGGAACCCAAAAUUCACAAUCGAGUUUUGUAAUCUGGCUCUGAUACCACUAAAUGUAAUACCCCAAACCCAACCUAGACGUUAUAGCCGAAUUCGAAAGUGUCACAUGAAAUGGGUUGAAAAAAAACAUUGUCGUUAAGUUAAAACCUUUCUAGUUAUUAGCCUUUAAAGUUAUUAUUAAUUUCAAACCUUUUGUUCAUUUAAUCAUCUUGAGAUAAAACGUUUUGUAGCGGAAGCUUGUAAAAACGUUAUGCUUAGAAAACCGUUCAAGAUUUUAGAAAACCAUCACAGUUUUAAAUAAGUAAAAACCAAAACCCAAAACUAAUGUCAGCAUAUUAAAAGAGUCCAAAGUCCUAGAAAAUACAACUUUAAUGCCAAAACUUAAUAACCCAAUAAAAAUGAAACAGUAAAUUAAGUGGUCACCAUUGAGUCCUCCGCUGCACCGAUUCGCCUAAGACUGUGGGUUACCUGUACAGACAAACAGAAAAAGGGGGUGAGUUUACGUAAACCCAGUGUGUAACCCAGCAUAGUUAAGCAUCUAUACAUACAAAAUAUCACAAAUCAGAUAGAUUCACAAUCAAGUUUGAGCCCAUGUUAGAUACAGAUACAGAUUCGGGCCUGAGUCCAUUUUAGAUACAGAUACAAUCACAUAUAUGCAAAUCAGAUAACAGAAUCCUACCCCCAUCCUCUACACAUCAUUUCUGACCAUCCCUGCAUAUCGUAUGAGGUUUAAAACACCCACCUGACCCUACACAUCACGCUGUACUGAUGCGGCACAUAUUAGAUAAAAUGCAGCCAUGCUGCUAGAUAAUAGGUGCAAAAAUGCCUUUCAAAACACUUCCUCCAAUAUACAUCAACCCAUCCCCAAUAUCAGAAAACAUAACAUGCAUACAGAAUUAACAGAUAUAUCAUGCUUGACAUGCAUUAAAUAACAGAUAAUAGAUAUUCACCUAGCAUAAUAAUAUCAAACUCAGAACAAAUUUUAGACUAUCAGAUCACAUAAAAUUUAGGGUUAGAUAGCGUUUACAGACCCUACGGUAAGCCCACAGUAGAUUAGGACGACUCGUACGACCUUAAGAAAAAUUUCAGUGUAAUAGGCCUACAUGCCCAUAGAGCUUGCCCGUGUGGGCCCACACACCUGAUUGGCCUUGUACGUGUAGAUCACACGGCUGGUCCAGAUAUUACACGCCCGUGUGAUGUACCUAUGUGGACCCACACGCUCAAUUUGGCGUAACCCAUGUGGCCCAUACGGCCACACCUCGAAAAUCACACGGCCAUGUCUUACGCACGGCUUGGCCUUCGUCGAUCACAUGACCGUAUCGAUGUUACACGGCUACACGGCCGUGUGGCGUCGACAGAAGUGUUUUUCAGCUUUCGUCGAAUCUUGCUUUUCAAUGUUUCAGGUAACACCUAGUACAAUUUUGAUGUUAAAAUGAUCCCGAGCCUUUUAAGACCUAACACAAAGUACCCAACAUCAAAAUUAUCAAUUAAGUCAUGAAUUUAUCGAACCCAAAUCGAGCCAAACACACUCACUUACCGCAAUCACACCCGUUUAAUCGCGUAAGGCAGACUGUAACACCCUUUACCCAUAUCCGAUGUCGGGACAGGGUACGAGGCAUUAUCGAACUUAAGCAGAACCAAACAUACAGAAUUGGGCCACAAAAUUUCAUUCAAAUUAAAACCAAUCAAUUAAAGUUAAUUUGUCCCUAUUAUGGACCCAAGAAGCCCAAAACAUACAUCAUUAGUGGUCCGGGACUAAAUCGAGAACUCACAGAAAUUCUAAGAAAAUUUUUAGGUUAAAGUCCCACACGCCCGUGUGGAGGCAAUGUACAUGCCCGUGUGCUUGGGGACACGCCCAUGUCCCACACCCAUGUGGAAUUAUUGGAUUUAUUUUCCAAUUCGAACCUACAGGGGUUUUCACACGGCUGAGCACACGCCAGUGUCCUAGGCCUGUGUUCCUCACACGGCCUGGGACACACCCGUGUAGUAGCCCAUGUGAUUUUAGCGAGCAUUCUGUUUAUGACGUCAUCAUACAAAUUUGAGGCACACAGCCAAGCAUACGUCCGUAGCUAGAGGCCGUAUCCUCCACACAGUUGAGACACAUGGCCGCGACUCUGCCCGUGUGUUUACUACCAUGCAUGUUAACCUAAAAUUCAAGGUGCAGAGGACACACGGCCGAACGACAUGCCCAUGGGGCUGACCAUAUGUCACACACGGCUUAGACACAUACCCGUGUGUCUACCCGUGUGGAUUAUUUGGAGGCUUCUCUUCAAGCCAUUGGUCACCCUUAAACAAUUAUACACUUCCAUAUGUUCAAUGGCAUAUCUCAUGAUAUAUUUGGACAUUUAAACAUGUAACAUUAUAGCAUCACUAUGACCCCUUUUCAUAUUAGUCCAUUAGUAUUCACACAACCUUAUCUUUUAGUCAUUCCACACCAAUCUCAUGGUUUACCAUAUUCCUUAUUAUCAAUCCAUUAUGAGUGCUAAAUCACACAACCACAUACAAGCAAAUAAAUAGUCAUACAUCAAACCAACACAUACACAUCUUAGAAUGCAUGCAAAGGUAAACUUAGGGAUACAUUCCAAUCAUUAAUAUGGACCAAAUCACAUGGCCACAUACAAAAUAAUCAAUGCCCAAAUGAGCCAUUACACUUGGCUACUUCAACAUGACACAUAUAUACAAAAUAGACAAGUUCCCUAUACAUGCCAUGACCAAAAUAAUUGAACCCUUUUAUACCCAAAAUCCUUGAAGAUAGUGUGAUCUGAGCUCUGACGUCUCCCGAUCCUUUGAGCUAGCUUGACGUAUCUAAAGAGAAGGGAAAAGAGAUGAGGGUAAGCUAUAAAGCUUAGUAAGUACACAUACAAAUAAUCUACAUUUUUGCAAUUAUUGGGAAUCUACGCAUAAUUACUUAUCUAUUAUGAUACUUUUCAUCGUGUCAUAUGUAUUUACUUACCUUUCAUAUUCAUAUGUACAUGCUUAUCCAAAUACAUAUCUUUCCAUAAUAUCAUCAUAUACUAUGUCCUCAUAGGGUUUUAGUACAUACCUGUGCCAUCUUGCACACAUAUGUCUUACUUAAAUUUUACUUUCGAAAUUCAUAUUACGUUACCCGUUGAACACUUGGAAUAUGAUUCGGACACACGGAAGAAAUGCAUGGAAAUGCCUAAACGUAGCCUUGGCUACCUGACAGAAAGUGCACCGAAGUGCCUCAUAUCACAAAAUCACAUGCCGAUCUCAACGGGGCUACUCAAAGAGUUAAGAGAGUAUCCGAACACAACUCAGGAUACCCAGCACCCGGACCCUAGCAUGUAUCCCAUAUUAAAUGAGCUCAUAACACACAUGACUAUCCUAGUGACAUGUCACUUGUGUCCUCAACUAUUCCUAAGGUUCAAACAAGAUUUAAGACUUCCAGACCUUUACCGAACAUACUCGCAUAAGUGGUUGCUUUCACAUGGCUAACGUCUCAUAAUCAUGUAGCAAAGCAUCAAAACAUGUUAUAUUAUCAACAUAGCCAAAUAAGCAUAUUAAGCAUACAUAUAUCAAUAAAUCAUUUAAUAACAAUAAUUAAUGUAUUUAUUUACAUAUGUACUUACCUAGGUACAAAAUACUAGAAAUCGAGCCUAAACCUCGUAAACCUUGUUCUUUCCCCGAUCAAGGCCCGUAUCUCGAUUCUCUUAAUCUAUAGUACUAAAUUUAGCUCGUUUAAUACAUACAUUACUUAAAACGAUCCAAAAUUCAUAUUUGCUUAAAAUUAUUAUUUUAUCCUUAUAUUUUCAUAUAUUUGCAAUUUAGUUCCUAGGCUCGAAUAGUACAAUGUAUGGGAUUUCUUAGUUACCAAGCCUAGCCGAACAUUUUUCAUGUUCAUAACAUCCCACAUUUUCCUUCCUUCCACAUUUUUCUACCCUCUUCUACAAUUUUUACAAAAUAGUUCUUAAAGCCCUUUUCAUGAAAAUCUACUUAGUAAAAGUUGUUUACCAUAUUUUAAACUCUCAUAUCCUUCCAUAAAUCAUCAAAACAUAAGCUUCUCAUGCAUGAGUAAAUUUCUAAACAUGAACCCUAGCAUGAAAUAUUGGUAGAAAAAGAGAGAGCAAGUUAUUGGGAUUUCAAAAAUACGAAGAACAUUAAAAACGAGGCUUGGGAGCACUUACUAUAGAGCUUGGAAAGCUUGAAAACCCUAGCUAUGGAGAACCCUAAAAUUUCGACAGUAACAUGGAGAGAAUGAGCUGAUUUUUGGCUUUUUUUCCUUUUUUAUUUCAUUAAUAUACCAAAUGACCAAAAUGCCCCUAAUGCCUUUCCUUCAAAAUUUUUUCCAUACAAGCCCAUUUUUUUUUCCAAAAACUUAGAAAUUCGGCAAAUUGCUCUUUAAGACUUCCUAAUUAAUAAUCCAAAUCAAUUUCAUACAAAUUGCUUCUAAAACACAAAUUUUGCUAUUUAUUCAAUUUGAUCCCAAAUUUCCAAUUGGACACCUUAUACUUAGAAUUUCUUCAUGAAACUUUAACUCAUAUCUAUAUAUUCAUAUUCUAAACCUCAUAAAAAUCAUAAAAAAUAAUAUUUUAACGUCAGAUUUGUGGUCUUAAAACCACUAUUUCGACUAGGCCCUAUUUUGAGAUGUUACACAGACCGUUGGAGUGAAUCUACUGUUCACUACCGUCCCCUACAUAACAAAUUACAGAACUUCAAUCUUCAGAAAUCAGAAACUAAAAGAACACAAGGACCUUACUUACUGAUUUCAUAACAACCGAGAUUCGAAUGUCCACAAGCAGAAUUUAAUGAUAGAAUCAAAAAGCGAAGAAGGGAUGGUUUACUAUUAUUUCGUCAAAGGUAGAAGAAGAAAAGUGAAGAGAAAUCAAAGGGAAAAAUCCUAUUUGGGAGAAAGAAGGAAAACGUCAGAACCCAGAAAUUUUUGAAAAAAAACCAAAAAUAAAAUAAAAUCUUAGUUAAUAUCCCCACUGAUCCCUUAAUUCUCUCCACUACCCUACUACUAACAACUCCCUCAAAACUCCAGCACAACUGAAACUCUAUUAGAUAAUAGGGAAAAAAUAAAUGCCCACGCUCACGCAAGGAUUCGAACUUAAGACCUCCAACACUCUAGUUCCUUUACCACUAGAACCAACAAGCUUAUUCUAAUAUAUAAUUACAAACAAUUAAACAUAAGCCCUCUGAACAAAUAUAGGGCUUUAUUCCAAAAAUAACAAAAUUUUCCAGGGUAAGCCUUGAACCCAAGACCUCACACACACUCCCAGAACACUUAGCCACUGUAGCAGAUACACACUUAUGUUACAUUUUCACAAAAGAAAAAAUAAGAAAUUCGGGGCGUUACAUUAAAAAUCACUUUUCUGCUACUAGAUUGUAAUUAAGAAUUGUGAGUAAUAAAUAAAUGAAAAAUUAACUAAGUUUUCAAAAAUAAUCACUGUUACAAGAAUAAGGUUAAAAUUAAUUGGAUUUUGUUAACUCGCUAGUUUUACUAAAAAUAGGCUAAGUUUUCAUUUAAGAUAAACAAAUGUUUUAAAAUGAUUAAUUUAUAACUUCAAUCAUACUAGGCCAUCUCUGUGGCUGAUGUAAUCUCCUAAAUUUGGGUUUAACGUCUAGGUCGGGUUGGGAAAGUUACAAUUAGCCAGCUUGUCAUCAUCACUAGUCUAUAUGAAUUUAGGUUUUAGAGUAUUCACACCAUCCACAUCAACUGUUGGAGGCUACCAUCCAAUCGAUAUUGAGCACCAAGCUCUCUAGUCCAUGAACUUGAUACACUCUCAUCCUUGCCUUCCAAUAGGCAUAAUUCAUGCCAUCCAACAUAGGGGAUCUCGAAAUUGACAUAACUUCCUUCUUUCCAACAAAUCAACAACAAGAUCUUCACUUCGUUUGUCAAGUGUCUAGAUUUGAUACCAAUUUAAAGUUUGUUGAUUUUGCCUCCUCGUUGCACAUUCAAUUGCAAUUGGCCUUGUUGACUACAAGAGUAAAAAUUCGAUGUGGACACAAAGUUAGUUAUGCAAUUAAAAAAUUUCCUACAUUUGAGAAGCCUUGCCUAAAGAGUAAUCCACUAUCAAUCCUUAAUACAGUAUGUGAUUUAAGUUCAAAACACUCACCAUGUUUCAAUCUCACUACUAGACUUAACUAGAUCAUUUUCCCUACUAAGACUUUUCCCUUGAAAUCUUAGUCACAAAUUGAACAAAGAGAACAAUUUGUUUCCAAUAAUUUUGCACUAAAAUAAGUUCCUCACAAUGAACAAGAUAAGUGCUCUCAGUCUCAUACUAAAUACAAUAAUAAGUCUUCUUUUAAAUAGGCAUAUAUUGGCUUGCAAUUCUUCAAUCAAUGUGAACUUCAAGUUCCUUGAAUUUAGCUCGAACAUGUCUUCAAUUUGGAAAAAAAUAAAAUAAAGAUAUUCUAGAAAUAUACUUCUUAAGAAAACACGUAAUUUAAUUAAGGAAAAUCGAUCUCAUUAGUAGUCUUCAAAAAGUCAUUGCUUUAAAAGGUACAAAGGUUUUUUUAUCUAGGGUUUGUUUGGACAACUGGAGUAAUUAAAUGAAAGUGUUCCUAAGGUAGUAAUUACACUCUCUUGUAAUUACAAAGAAUUGUAAUUCCUUAGACGUAUUUGGUUGACAGAGUGUUAUUAUAUCGUAAUUCCCUAUGUCAUAUUUGGUAGAAUCCAUCGUAAUUUUGUAGUUGCAUAAUUUAAAUAUAUAUAAAUAUUAAUAACUAUAAGAUAUUAUUAGUAUGACAAAAAUAAUUUCUAAACAAGUAACAAAAAUUAAAAUAAAUAAUCAUAUUUAUUAUGUUAGUAUAAAAAAGUAGUUGAUAAUACGAUUACUAAUAAAAAUAGCAAGAAAAAUAAACAUCAUAUACAAUUUUACGUAAUUGUUCUAGUGCAUGUUUGUUGGGUUAUGUCCUUUUUAAUAUUUAACAUAUGCUUCCUGUCAUCAUUUGAAUUUGAAUAUGCAUAAUUAAGAUUAUCAAAAUUUCCUUCCUCCAUGUAUUCUUUGAAGUAUGAAUCAUCUCAAUUCUACAUAUGAUUGAAGUUAUGAAAUAUGCAACAUGCUAGUAUGGUUCAACCUUAUUUUUUUAUAUAUACUAUGGUUAUGUUGUUAAUAUGAGGAAUAUCUUUUUAGCCAAAAAUAUAUUCUCAACCACAUUUUGAAGUCUUGAAUGUCUUAUAUUAAAGAGUUCAGGAGUUGUUUGUGGUACUUGUGUCUAUCACCAUUCUCCUAAAUUGUAUCAUACCUUACAAUAUGGUGCAUGAAAAUAUUUUCUAUCUGCAUAACUAGCUUCGACCUUAUAAUACUUGGGUUUUUUGUUCAAUUGGCUUGUAGCUUUAAUUAUACAAACUUAUAUAAACUUAGUUUGGAGAAAGACUUAUGCUAGGUUAUAUCCCUUCUUAUAAUAUGUAAAUUAAGUAAAAAAAUAAUAUAUAAUUUAUAAUACAUAACUUUUAGAAAUAAGGUUUUAUAAAUUGUACAAAACUUUCAUAACACUUCCUAUAAGUAAUAUAAUUUUUUGUCAUAACCUUAGAAAGUUAUUUUUUAUAAAUAAAUUACGAUAAAAAAAUAUAAAAUUUUUAAUGAAUAAGUAUAUUAUUUUGAUAAUAUAUAACAUGGACUCGUAAAUAAGUUAUGUCUAUAUAUUGACCAUAAUUUUUUAUAAAUAAAUAUAUUAUAACAUGUAAAUUAUUUUUUAUAAAUUUUUUGCCAUAACUUUAGAAAUUUUGUUAGGAUUUACAUAAUAUAAUUUCUUAUUAUAACUUUAUAAAACACACAAAUUAUUCUUAUAAUAUAAUUUUUAAGAUUUAUAAUAUAAGAAAUUUUUUGCCAUAGCCCUUCUAAAUACUCAUACGUGUUUAUGCUAAUAAUAUAUUUUUUAAAACUUGUAUAAAAAUAAUUUCUAAAAUUAGAUUUGGGUGUAAUUACUCCAAUUCUCACCCGCCCCGUAAGAAUUGAAAAAUAUAAUUAGGGUGCUUCAAAUACACCUACUUCGAUGAGACCCAUCAAUUACAAUGAUUAUCCAAACAUGACACCCUUGUGUGAUUACAAACAGUUACACCAAAAUCUAAUUAUUAGGUGAUUCUUCAAAUAGUACCCAAAUGUUGCCAAAUAAAAAUUAAGUUACAGUUAGAGUUGUAUGUGGACUGUGUGAGUGAUACGAAAGCUAAAAUAAAUAUAAAUAUAAGUAUAUUAACAGGUAUGUAGUGAGAAUAGUUAAAAUUGUAUUUAAAGAAUAAAAUUGAAAUUAAGGUUUUUGUAAUUCAACAAAAACAAUGUAUUAAAUAAAAAAUAAACCUGGUAAGCUGCUUGAAAUCAGGGAAAAAGAAAGUUACAACUAAAUUGGAAUGUGUGGGAAUUUGGAAUGAGGGAAAUCAGGGCCUUCUCUUACUCUUAAGCCACUAAUGGAAGGUGAGUUGAGUUUUGCAUAUCUCUUUGAUGUUGGCCUUUCUUUUUCAAUGAUGCUUAUGUUCAAUAUUUUUGUUUGAAAAAGAUGGUCUGGCUUAGAGGGGCACUAAUAUUUUUUAAUACACAACAUGAACCCACAAAUUAAGAUAGCAAUAGCGUAGCUACUGGUUGAUAGAAUUUUAUGCCCAAAAUCUGAUGAAAUUUUCAAUUAUUAUUUUCCUUUCGCAUUCCCAAGAGAAUUCCAACACCUUGGGAUAGGAUAACUACAAAUUAGGUGGUUCAAAGUCUUAUUAUUAUUAUUAUUAUUAUUUUUGUUUAAAUGAUGUAUGCAAAAGAUUAUCUACUAAAAUAGAAUGCAAAUUUUGAUAUUUGCUUCUUCUUUUUUUUCUUUUUAUAUAAAAAAAUGAAAGUAAAUUACACACACAUAUAUAAGUAAACUAGUCUUUUACCUAUGCAUCACAUGGCUUAUUUCUACAUUAACUUUUAUAUGUAAUAAUUUAUUUUGAUAAAUCUUAUGAAUAAUAUCAUAAAUAAAUAUAAAAGUUAUUAUAUGCCACGAUUUUUUGUCAAUUUGAUUUGAAAUGGUUAUUUUAACAAUUAAAUUUUAAUUUUAAUUUAUAAAUUCUUUUAUUAUUUUUGAUUAUUUAUUAAUCAAGUUUAAUAUUAUUGUUUAAAUUUUUUAAAAUUAUUAUAAUGAUGAAAUUGCAUUACUCGAAAAAAAAAAUAUAGAUAAUUAACUUUUUCUUCAUGGAUUUCAUCUUAUGCUAUAAUAGUGAUCUUGUAAGAAUAUAUAACAUAAAAAAAUAAAAAAAUAUUAUUAACAAAAAAAAAACUUGGUGCAUUUUUCAAAAAUGCAUUUAAUUAAAAAAUUGAGCCAACAUAAUUGUGAUUUAGUAAAAAAAAAAUUUAAAUUUAAAAAUUGUACAAAAAAUCACACCUUUCAAAAUCAAAGUUGUAAAUUGACAAAAACUCCAGGCAUAGUAUUUAUAGAGUUAUUUGUUGGUAACAAUAAUUAAAAUUAUGAUUUUAGUAGAUAAUUAUAAUAAAAAAAUUAUAUUAUAUGAGAUUUAUGAAUCUUUUAAAUACAAUAUUAGGGGUGAGAGAUGAAGGUGAUAAGAUUUAAAUCCGUGUCAAAUAAGAGCUUUAACUAUGGCUUCAUAUUAUCUUGAGAAUUAAAAAAUUUCAACUUACAUGAAUUUGAAUUUUUUUUUAAAUAUUAAAUUAUGAUUUUAAUAGAUAAUAGUAAUUUUAAUAUUUUAUUCAAAAUUUGCAUAAUUUUUUUUGGUAUCCUUGAUAUCAUAUUUAUAAUCCAUAUUUGAGUUUGUCGAUGCUUUUCCUAAUAAUGUUGUGUUCAAGGUUUGCACAUAGUUCUUUUAUUGAGACUCGAGAGUGCAAUAUGCCUUCCUAUUAUACCCAACACUUGUUGAUAAAUUAUGUAUAAAAUUUUUAACUCAAAAGUAAUUUAAAUUUUCAUUAUGUGUCAUUUAAUUAGUGUACCAUAUUGUAUAAUAUAUAUUAUAGAGUUCUUUUUCACAUAAAUUUACCAAAAUAUAAAAAUAUAAAACGCAUUUUCUCAAUAGAUCAAACUACAAUAAGUCAACCUCAAAUAAUUACUCUAAAAUGAUUUGGAGAUCUCCGAUUUACUGAUUUUCAUGUACUAUAUUAUAUUAUAUUAAGGCUGUAAAUUGCUUGCAAAUCAUUUGAAUUUGGCUUAAAAAAAUUGAAUUUAAUUAGAUAAUUAUUGAACUCAAGCUCAAGCCAACGAUCAAAUCAAAUUCAAGUAUUGUGAUACUUAAUUUAAACGGUUUACAAGUCUAAUCAUAUUUUUCGUUUUAAUAUAUUUUUAUAUUAUGAAAUUAUGUUUUUACCCUUAUUAUAUAGAAAGACUUUUAAGUAUAAACAAACUUAAAUUAAAAUAAGAAUGAACUUAUUCGAGCGCGUUAAUAACUCCAUUAUAUCUUGAACCGAGUUUUAGCUUAAAAAUUGAUAUUCAAUUAAACUCAAGUCAAGUAUCGAGGUAGACCUUAAUUCUAUUCGAACUUGGAUUUACUCAGUUACACCCUACUAUAUUUAUAUAUUUUAAAGACUUUUAGAUUAAAUAAAAUGAGUUAAUCAUAAAAGAUACGUACCCUGCAGUUUACUUUUGGGCAUUUCAUGAAUUUCUUAUUGAAUAUGAUACAUCUAUAUGAUGGAUUAAAUUUCAAUAUAUGUUUUAGGAUAAAAUACUAAAACAAUCACUUUUGUUUACUUUAAGUUUUAUUUUA